rnacentral:misc_RNA from 1 species
UUGUGGAGAAGGACGCCGAAGGUGGGGCUGAUGACUGGGGUGAAGUCGUAACAAGGUAGCCGUACCGGAAGGUGCGGCUGGAUCACCUCCUAACAGGGAGACAAUAAAUUGAUUGUGAUGUCUAAGUUUUUUAUUCUUAGGCCGCAAUCCUGUCACCUUAAGGUCGAUCGGUACCUCAGAUUUUAGAAUUAAUUUUAUAAUUCAUUCUUUUAUUUCAGUUCCUAAACUUGUCUAGGUCACACCCAACAAAGGUUUCUCCUGGGCCAUUAGCUCAGGUGGUUAGAGCGCACCCCUGAUAAGGGUGAGGUCCCUGGUUCAAGUCCAGGAUGGCCCAUUCGUUGUUGGGUUAUAGCUCAGUUGGUAGAGCGCCUGCUUUGCAAGCAGGAUGUCAGCGGUUCGAGUCCGCUUACCUCCACUGAAAACUAUCCUGAUAACUAAAUUCUGGAGAAAAAUUUGUAGAUGUGGCUUAGAAUUGUCUAUUGAAAAGAACCUAGCUUCUUAUCAUCUUUAUAUAGUUGAUAACAUGCUGGGCUCCCAUGGAUUAAUUUCAUGAGAAUUCAGUAGAACCUUGAAAACUGCAUAGAUUAGAAAGAAUAAAGCAUCUCAUGGAUGCAUAAUUCUGUUUUGAUAAUUUAGCCUUAAAACUAAAUUAUUAUUAUAAGAAUUCAUGUUUAAUUCUUGAGUAAAAGCCGAGCACAAUUGAUUUUUUGAUUGUAUUUAAGGUCAAGCUACAA